rnacentral:rRNA from 1 species
AACGAACGCUGGCGGCAGGCUUAACACAUGCAAGUCGAACGGGUGCAGCAAUGCAUCAGUGGCAGACGGGUGAGUAACACGUGGGAACCUUCCUAGGGGUACGGAACAACUCAGGGAAACUUGAGCUAAUACCGUAUACGUCCGUAAGGAGAAAGAUUCAUCGCCCCUAGACGGGCCCGCGUCGGAUUAGGUAGUUGGUGGGGUAACGGCCUACCAAGCCUACGAUCCGUAGCUGAUCGAGAGGAUGAUCA